rnacentral:lncRNA from 1 species
GACAGUAUGCUAGCGUUAUUCGUAACUGCAGGUGGCUUUUUAAGUUGUUAGAGUAAGGCAACCCGAAUCCUGUUUGGCCCCGCCCGAAAGCUCGCGGUGCAACAUGUAUAAUGAAACUAAAAUUAUGAGAAAAAAUGGAGGUAUGAACCUGUUUUAUUAUAUAUAUGAUGUAUAUAAGAGUUUCUUAUCAUCUAGUCAUUCGGAAUAGUCGCAACUCUCGUACUCGUUUUUUAUAUAAUGAAUUUUCUUCUCCUUUGCCUGUGGCCUUUUUUUUUUUUUUUUAGGAUUUUCAUGUGAAUCUUUUGUUCUUGUUCUCAUUUUAUAUGUUGUGAAUUCUCAUUCUUCUUAACAUAAGUCCACCUUCAAAUUCCCUGUGGAAACUACCAAGCUGGAACUGGCUUAGAAUAUUUGAAGGAGGAAACUACCAAGCUGGAACUGGCGUAGAAUAUGGGGGAGAGAAUUCUGAUGAGUGGCAAAUUGUUACUGCUAUUAGCCAAGUCCUCUAGACGACAACUCAUGAAUAUCAAAUUUGAACAUUACAUUCUUUUGCGGUAUAGAAUUGUUGUAUUGUCAUUGUCCCCACGCAACCAAUCUUGUACCCAUCAAAGACGCGUAAUUUGACCAAACUGAUCUAAUAAUUCAACUCGUUAGUUGUUCGUUGGGGC